UCCCGGUUUGAGCUUGAUCUCCGCCUCUAGCUCUCGUUCUCUCAAUCCUCGAUUCCAGAUCUUUGUUGCUUUUCCAUCCCCUCGGUUAGGGUUGUUGGUGUCUCCAAGCUUCUUCUUAUCAUUUAAGAUGCUUUGAUUAUCAUGCAUGGAAAUCGAUAGUUAGAUCGACUGAUUUGAUUGAAGAUGUUUAGGCGGAAGCGAAGAUCCGUAGAUAUUGGUUUUGGCUCGUUGGCUGGCUCUCCUCAAAGACCUCUCUCGACUCCGGUUGAUUUGUUUUCUAUGGUGUCAGAGCUCCGACGACUUAACCUCCGUUGGUUUGGCGAGUUUAUGGUCUGAAGAUGUCUCGACGGUUCCUCUUUCUCUAUAACCUGUCUACAGUGUGUUCUUGUGAUCGUCGGAAAGUCACUCCGGCACAUCUUUCUAGCUGUUAAGUCGGUGGUCUCUUCGUGUGACGCAUGCAUCUAGUUGUCAGGAUAGUUGACACGUGUUGAUCCACUCACGCUAAUCAAUAAUGCAUGGUGUGCAAGUGGGCAACCGACUUUCUUUGGGCUUUUUUGUUGUGUGCUUUUGUUGGGUCUUUGUUUUUAUUUUGGCUUUUGCUUUUAUGUACUCGGUCUUUGAUUUUUUGGUACUUCUUCGGUUUGUUAAUAUUUCAAAGAUUGACAGAAAAAAAACAUUGAAAAUUAAGAAGAAAAAGAAAAAAACCCAAAAAACACUGCGUUUAAGUUUUUUUCGGAGGACGGUAAGAUUGAUCUUUGUUAUCGGCCCAGUCCAAUACGAUACUCCUUGGCCAUGUAAGACAGAUCGCUAUCACUAGAUAAACAAAAUAUCAGAACAGCCGUUGCACUACGCAGACAAAAUCUUAAUCCUGGAAGAUAUUUUCGACCACGAACCCAUCCCUACACCUUUGGUGAUAAACAAAUACCGUAAGACAGUCGUCUAUUGGGACGUGGAGGAUUACCCGGUUCCUAACGAUAUCUAUAUUGAUUCGCUUCGUAGGGAUAUAGAAUCGAUUCUUCUGGAUUUGGGCUGUGAGGAGGUGUCUAUUGUGGCUUACGUUUACAAGAAUAGGUUUUCGGAUGAACUGUAACGUAAAUUUAUGGAUGCCAAAUUUUUUGUCGAUUUCUUACCCGAGGGGGAUGAUGACUUUGCGAGAAUGACUUGGAUGUUAGUGGACAUUAUUUGUUUGCCCGUGGUAUUUCCUAAACCAAAUGUUAUCGUACUCUCAAAACACAUGGAAAAAGAGGCUGUUGGUUGUUUCCAAGGCAUGUAUUUUAACGGUGUUGGGGUUCUCUUAUCCAAAACUGAACCUGGCUGGCUUGUUCCUGAUGAGAGUUCAGCAUUUAAACUUACAAGGCUAUUUGAACAACGUCUUGACUGUGAGAAGCCGCAGAGAGAGGAUACCCUUGCAAACUCUGUCGGCGACUCUGUCAAGGACUACCCUUGUGCGCGCCUCCAAAGGGAGGCCAAUGUAUCUUCUUGAAAGUUUUAUGUUAACUGUGUUUCGACUGUGUGUCCGUCUUUGUAUAGCUGUUACUUUUUUUGGGUUUGAUGACAUGAGGGUUUGGAACAUAUAUUACUCCUUUGUCUUACUUUUUAACUAAACCCUGUUGCAAUGUGGCCUUUAGUUUAGAUGAUUGAAAGCAAACCCGUUUCUUUUAA